CGGAAGGCUCCGAGAGCUGCGGAGGUCUAGGCCUCCGGACCGCGGAGCAACGUUCCGGGGCGGAAUCAAGUCAACAGAAGGUCUGAUUCCGUCAUUAGACCGGCACUCUGAUUUGGAGAGAGUUUCCUCACCUAAAAGAGUAGAUUAUUACAAAGUGUUCUGUUCAGUUGAGUUUCUAAGAACAUGAUCUGGCUUGAGAGAAAUGAAGAAACAGGAAAUUGUGGGAGAUCUUUGCCUCCUUCUCCACCACAACUGUAGCCAGAGGGGCCCCAGGACAAAGAGGCCGUCCCUGCUUUCUGCUCCCCCAGCUAACUGAUUCCAACAACCUGAAAGCAUGCAGAGACAUCUGUGUCCAAGGAUGUUAAAUUAGUUGUAAAUCAGUGUUUGAUUUGUAUUCUCAUAAAAAUUCUGGAAAUAAAAGAUUAAAAUAAACAUCCAAAAUAUUUAAAAAUACUAUGCGAUUUCAAAAAUAUAGGACACCUGUGAUAAAUAUUGCAGGAAGAAUUCAAUGGUGGAGGUAGAAAUCCUUUUGAGAGUCUAUUUAGGGAUGAUUUCAUAUUCAGUAACACAGCUAAGUAGGUAAUAUUUUGUGGUAAGCCUGCAUUUUUUUUUUAUUUUUUUAAGACUUUUUUUGAGGUUUGUUUUUAAAGAAACUGCAUACAUCAUUAGAGACAAACAGUAAUUUAAAUACCAUGCAGUUUCUGUAUGUACAAAACCUAGGCCAUAGAGAUCCAGUUUAAUUUGUAUUCUAUUUACACUGUCUUCCUCAUACAGCUGUUGUCUGUUAAAGCAGAACACAGGAGAGUGCUCUGAUACAAAGACAAGCUAUGUACAGACACCCGGGAAGCAA